UGUUCUUCUGAAAUCCGAACUGAUUUUGGUGAAUUAGGUGGUUAUGGUUUAGAUGAAGGACGAGUCUAUUAUAUAUAAGUUUUUCGAGAAUUUUGGACAUGAAUGGCAAAUUACUGAUAGGUCUGUAGUUAUUUACAAGUUGCGAGUCCCCACUUUUAUAGAUGGGUUUAAUCACGUUUUUUUGAAAAUGCUCGGAAAUAUCCCCAAGGACAAACAGCUGUUGAAAAGAUGGACAAUUGCCUGGAGUAUAACCUUAUAAGAUAACUUGAAUAUUUUUAAAUUAAUAUUGUCGACUCCAGCUCCGACGUUGUUCAGACCAUCCAUAACAAGAAUUAAUUCCUGUUCAUUAGUGGGGGGGCAGAUCCGUUUCAUUUUCUACAUCUGUGAUGAGCUGGAGGGGGUAGAACGAUGAUUUAGGAAUCUUGUCUUUUAACUAUUAUCCAAUCUCACUAAAGAAGUGGUUAAAUGAUUCUGCGAUAUCCGGAGCGUCUGAUAAUUUUAUCAUCAGUUCCAGUAAUCCUGGUUGGAUCUACAUCUUUUUGUUUUGAAUUGAUGAGUGCGUAAUGUUUUCCAUGUUUCCUUGGAGUUGCCAGAAUGUUUACUGAAUUAAUCAUUGUAGUAUUUCUUUUUGGCUACCCUAAGAGAUAUAGUUAGAAUGAUACAGUAAGAAGUGUAUGUUGCAUUAUUUUCAAGACUGGGAUUCUUCAAUUUCUGUUCAAACAGCUUACUUUUAUGUGUAAUUGAUAGAAGAAGUGCAGGUGACACCCAUGGUUUGCGUGAGCUGGUUUUUCGAGAAAUGUGCCUUGUGUGAGAAAACCUGGUGAUCCUGGCAAUGUAAGCAUACACAAUUUGAUUUGCAACAGCACCAGGUUCUGGCUCAUUUUCAAUAUAAACAAGGUGAUCAACAAGGAAUUGUUUAAAUUCUUCCAGCGAUCUAUAAUCAAAUGUGGUAAUAGGUGCUCUACCAUCAAGGGAGUGUGGGUGUGAGGCAUAACUCAUGGAAGCAAAAAUAGGGAACUGAUCAGACAAAUCAUGAAGGAGAAUGCCUGUAUGCAUCACUUUUGAUAAGACAUUGCAAAAUAUGUUAUCUAGAAGAGUACAUGAUGGAUAGCAAGAUCGAGUUGUCCUGGAUAUUUUAGGAAAGAAGCCAUUUGAACACAUGUUAGUGAAAAGUGCUUGCACAUUAGGAUUUAUAUCAAGUGAGAACAGAUCAAAGUUGAAAUGACCAGCAAUAAAUGUCACUUUGUUCAUUUUUUAAAGCCAAAUUAGGCAUUGUUCUAGCUCUGAGUUGAAGUGGUGUUUGUCAGUGCUGGGCACUAUCACAGGGUAGUUCAGCACAAACCACUUUAGCUGUAGAGAAAACUGGAUUGUUAAGUUGUGUAGGAUGAAGAUGAUCAGCAAUGUGUACUGCUGAUCCACCACCUACCCCUUUUGAUCUGCUGCAGUAGAAACCUUGGUACCCAGGUAAGUCAUAAUGAAUUCCAAAGCCGCAGACAGCCAUGUCUCAGAUAUAGAAAUUACAUGCCAUGUUAUAUCAGUCUGGGCAAGCAGACUACUUAAAUCAUCCUGCUUCUUCAGGAUUGAGGGAAUGUUAACAUGUAUAAGGUUUAGUGCACUGAUGUUGUGUGGAAUAACAGUUUUUACCUGAUCAGGUAAGUAGAAUGUGCAUGCUUCUCUUAGUUUUUCAUGAUCAUCACAUGAUAGUGAAGGAUCACUACCAUCCAUGUUUGAAGCAAAUGGAUUAAACACCUUAUUAUUUGGGGUUGAACCCAUAUAGUAAGGUGUUGAUGGAAAAGAAGGUAAGGAAAAGUGGAUGAUCUAGAAUACAGGUCAUAGAGGGAGUUCAGAAAAGGGAGAUUUUAAUCAUUAUCAAAUCAGAGAUUUUAAUCAUUUUAAGAUGUUUUUCAAUAUGAUGCUCAAGACUUCAAAAUGAGAAAGCAUAUGUUGAAUGAUAAAUGCCAAAAACAGGUUGUGUUGAUAGGACUUUUCUGCUAGUCACAGCUUUAGCAUGCAGACACAACAUGAGAACAUGGGCAGUGAGCUUGAUAAGUACCUAGAAUAAACAAGCACAUUAUUAUGAGGGGCAUAAGCCACCAAGCCAGGCACCACUGGCAAAUUCCUCUACUAGAAAUACUAGAAAUAAGGCAUUAUAAUACAGUAAGCUGUAUGUACACCACACCCAUUGUCACAUGCAAGUUCUCAAGAAGAUCAUAAAUGUAUGGGUAGUUAACUGAGGAAUGUGCCAGUGGUAGCCUAGCCAGGUGACAUCAUUAACCAAUGGACUCACUACUUUUUAGAACUUGAGAGUCUGGUCUCAGGUCGGGCCUGCCUGCCUUCAACUGUUACAAACUCCUCAAGAUUAGCAGCUCUGUUUAGCACAUGACCAGCAAGAAUGUGGUUCAGGGUCUGAGGGUAUAUGAACCUAUUCUGGCCUGCUACGCUUCUGUUUGCCGAAGGGGAUAGUAUAGGUGAGUCUGUCAUGGCUUUAAUGAUCUGCUCGCGUGUGAACCAUGGCCGUAUGCAUGCAUAUCUUUUGUCACAUGAGCUCCUUGCCAGAAUGAUGCUGUUUUUGGUGUGGAAGUUCAUGACCUGGUCAUUUUCAUGCUUCAUAUCGGCAGGAACCUUGACUUGUCAAUUUCGCUUAUCAGUGAGGUUUUCAUGAAUGAUGGUGCCUGGAUCGUCAGUCUGCCGGAAUUUAGCCUGGUAAACAUUGUUCCGACCAUCCAUGUCCUGAAAUUUCACCAGCACCCUUUUUUUGUUUUUUUCAGAUGGUGGCACGGCACCACUCCACCCUUCACGUCUACCUUGAGUUUUCUUUGAUGACCUUGCGGGCAACACUUCUGGUCCCCUCAGUGGUCUCAUCUGCCAUUGGCUCAGGGAUACCAUCUCCACUCAGAAUGAGAGAAGACUUCCGCCAGUAUUGCCUCGUCUCAUCGACAGCAGCCUCCAGAUGUUUAACCGUUUCACGAAGCUCAGAGUUUUCCCGUUUCAGUUUCUGAGUUUCAUCUCUCAAGGAAGCUAUCUCACGUUUAAAUAGCUCCAUUUAUUUUCCCACUGCCUCAGCUACGAGAUCCUUGAUCUGUUCCAUCUCCUCUCUGAACCCCCGAAUGAACUGUUUGGUUAAGUUACGUUAGAUUUAACUAUUUCACAUGAAAAAGUGGCGAAGUACACCUACUUAAUUACAUGCAAAGAGAGCAAAGAAAUUACCUGAAGAUAUAUGUUACCUCUAGUACAAACCCUGCCUAAAUCACUGAGUUUCGUUCGAACCAGAUGGUUGACACUGGCCGCUCGCCGGCUCCGAGCUUAUAUCUUCACCGAGACUCCCAGCAGGGCUCUCAGGGACCUCGUCUAGUGCGUGGUUGGCCACUAUGUGCGUGUGUGGCCCUCCAUUCGACAGAACGGCAGCUGUGACGUGGGCUCACGCAAUCUGUUCCGAAGCAUCGCGCUGCUCCGUGAGCUGCCGCAGCGCACACGGACCACGGUGCAGUCAGCCAUCCAGCGCAACGGGUACUGGGCCCAUCCGGAACAGCUGCUGCUGGCCGUGGUGGCGGACGGGGACCGUGUGGUUCGCGAACAGGCGGUUCAAAUCAUCAGCGCCGCGCGCGAGCAGCCAACCGAGGGCCCCAGAAUUUUCGCAGACGAUCAACUUCGAGGCUGUGAGCUACACGGAGCUGAUCUCCUGGCGCGAACCAGUCGCGCAACCCCCACUCCUACGAGACCUCAGCGACGGCGUGCUGCGAAGCAUAGUGCACGCUCCAUUGCCCAUCCCGCCUUAUCCGGUUCAUACCCAUGCGGUGGAGAGGGCCGUGCGCACCGUCACCGAGGCAUGUUCGGCGGUGAUUGGAGAAGAGGCGCGGCAUGGCCUCAUCGCGGCCAAGCUCAUGCACCAACAUAUUCUCCCCACCGCCAACUCUAAGAAAAAUCUGCUCUGAAGGUGGUCGUAGUAGCAGGCCCCAGUAUGGCAGCCGCCGCCGCCGCAUCAUUGCGUCCGCCCGCUGCGCAGAUGCAGGACAGUCUUUCGAGUGGAGUGACCAAGGGGCGCACCGCUGGACCAGCACUCGGCGCUCCUACAAGCUGCACGUACUGUGUCUCUGCCUUCUGAUUCAGCAGCACGACGGCAGAAACGUUUAAGACGUGCAGCCCGCAGAAUAGAGACGGCACCGCCGCAGGUCAACCAGCCUGGCAGGGGCUAGUGCAGCAGUGCCCGGGCACGCGCCGCAGAGCAGAGUGGGGCCAGCGCCGCACAGCCGAGAACAUCUGCGGCUGAGGCUGGGGCUUCGGCAAUAGGGCAGCCCGGUUGUGAAGGUACUUUGGCUAUUGUGCGACCUCCGCCAACACGCGUUACGGGUUUCCGGUUUCGCAGCAGCUGCUGUUUCAGCCAGCGCACCGAAUACGCAUGCUCGGUCAGGAGCAAGGUGUGUGUACGGUUGUCCUUACACCUCUCCAUGCCCGUGGUGCAGACUGCAGACAUUGGUGUUUGAAGUUGUA